GGCUCUUUGAUAAUAAUAAAGAGUUUGGCCUGCUCACUGAUGAAAAUUAAAGAGCCGCAGUAUUUUGACUGUGCAAAGGUAGCAUAAUCAUUAGUCUAUUGAUUGUAGACUGGAAUGAAAGGUUAGAUAAAUAAAGACUUUUUUAAUCUUAAUGUUUCUGAAAUUAUGGUUGUUGUCAGAACACACCAAAACUAGCGCGGGACGAUAAGACCCUGUCGAGCUUAAGUAGAUUAUAUAUUUUAUUUUUAUUCGUAGUAAGAUAAGUGACUAACUUUCGUUGGGGCGACGUGGAUAAAGUCUAUCUAUUUGUUAUGAAUAUACUAAUUUAAUUGUUAGAUCUUUUGUAGUAAAUGUGGAAAAGCUACCGCAGGGAUAACAGCGUUAUUAGCCCGGAGAGUUCUUAUUGAUGGGUUAGAUUACGACCUCGAUGUUGAAUAAAUUAUCUAUUUGGUGAAGGAGCUAAAGUAAAGAGAGUCUGUUCGACUUUUAAAUAUUUACA
rnacentral:rRNA from 1 species